CUUCUAAUUCAUUAUGCAAUUACUAAUCAUGUAUGUUCUGGUUCACAACUCUUUUGAGUACUUCUAAUCUAUAGGACGCUAUAGGUUAGAGUUGUAGUAUAGGUGUAAGCGAGGUGCUUAGAUCUAGAUUACUUGUGGAUAUCCCCUGUCUAGGUGGAUCGUGUGGUAGGCCGCGUAGGUGAUAGUUAUGUUGGUCCUCUGUAGUCCACCUCUCGUUAGCAGGACGGGUAGAGUUUAUCGGCCUAUGGAUAAGCAUCCUUUGUGGUGUAAUCUUAUCACGUGGUUCGUCCCAGACAUAGACAUACCCCUUUGAAGUAGAGAAACCAUAGUUAUUCUCUCUAUUCUGCUACCAUCGCCCAUAUACUAGAAUUGCUCUAUUCUCUAUUCCCAUAUUAUCACUCACUAUUAUCUUACCUUUAAUAUUGUUCUUAUUCAAUUCUACCAUCUUUCCUAUUCACACCUAUCUAUCUAUCUUGGUUAAGUUAGAGCAUAGAUCAGUUCUCCCGUUUCCCUGUGGAUACGAUAAAACCUUUAACCGGGUAAAAGAUUCAACGGUAUCCGUGCGCUUGCGGAUUAUAUAUGUGCGUAUAAAUACCAUAGUACACUCUAGUGCCAUGCUGGGGAUGACAACCUAGUAUUCAAGUGGUGUUAGCAAGUGUCAACAAGCAUUUUUGGCGCCGUUGCCGGGGAGACGGUUGCUGAGUUAACUAUGAACUAGCUUAAUCAUUUUCUAAAAAAAAUAAAAAAAUAAAUUUUCCUUUUAUCCUUUGCCUCAUCUCUGCUAAUCUUUCUUCUUAUCUAAUCCUUGAUCUCUGGUCUAUCAUGAAUUCAAACAUGUCUAUCUAUAAAUUUCAUAGACCUACGGGCACACAUCUUGAACCACCAAAAUCUUCAAAGCCUAUCAUAGCAUCUAGUUUUGAGAUAGACCCCGAAUACAUAGAAUUUGUUCAAAAACAACCUUUCUCAGGAGAAGGUGAGGAAAACCCAUACACACACCUAAGAGAGUUUUAUCGAGUCUGUGACCUCCUUCGCAUUGAAGGCAUGUCUGAUGAGACCCUUAAAUGGAAGCUCUUUCCGUUCUCUUUAACGGGAAAAGCUAGACAUUGGUAUAAACUCAAAGUAGGGAGUGUUCAUGGAGAUUGGAAGGAGUUACAUAAUAGUUUUCUUUUAAAAUAUUUUCCAAUCUCUAAAGUGGCGGAACUUCGGUGUGAGAUUAUUUCUUUUAUACAACUGGAAGAAGAAUCUCUUAGGAAAUCAUGGGACCGCUUUAUUAACCUUACUCUCACUGGCCCAAAGCUUUCUAUUCCAGAAGAAGUUCUUCUGAUUCACUUUUUUGAGGGCCUUAGUAUGGAAAAUAAGCAAACCCUUCAUGCGGCCUCUGGAGGAUCUUUCCACCACCUAUCCGCUAGUGAAGCUUGGAAUUUGAUUGAUUUAAUGAGCGGAAAGUCUCCUAGCUUUUAUAUCCCUAAGAAAGGGAAAGAACCGGUUCCUAGACAAGAAGAAGAAGUUUCAAUAGCCAGAUCACAACCACUUCAAUUCCAAACUUUAGCUAUCGAUCCUAAACCAUCAAUACCCCAAAAUUUUCCAAGGGAGGAAGGAAUUCCGACCUUAAAUCUUUCAGAUGUUGAUGGUUUAGACUUCUGGUUCCAUAAGAGACCUUCAAGCAGGGAUAAUUCAAAUCCUCGCAAUAAUGGUUCUCUUAGAGAAUGUCUUGGUUCCUGUUAUGAAGAAGUCGAGGAUGACAUAUCAAGUGAAGGAGAGCUAAGCCAUAUUGAAAAAUUCUAACACCUCCCCUUUCCUGAUCACAAGUUCUAAAUGGCUAGAAUGUGUAGAAUGGAUGGAUAAGGAAGAAGCCUUAAUGAAUUCUAACUUUGGUUCAAUUUCAAAUGGUGAGUUCUUGACUCCCUUUGAAGAUGGGAUUCAUCCAACUAUAGAAGAGGACAUAAGUUAGACCAAUCCAAGAGAAACUCUGAACAUUCAGAUUGGAGACGAAGAUAACAUUAAUGAGCAUGGAAUUUAUUUCAUAGCCACUUUGUUUACUCCAUGCUCAUAUGCAACAUCUUCCCAAUCUAUUGGUCUCUCCAACAUCACCACAUUUGAGAUCUCCAACCCCCUCUUCCUUUCUAUUUAUAAAAACUUUAAAAGGGCGGUUGUCGAUGCAUAUAUCUAUAAUAAAUAUUGCAGAUCUCGUUGAGUUGAUCUUGAUUUAGAUCAGCGUUGGAAGGGAAACCACUUCGCCGACAUAAAUUGAUGGUUUCCCAAGGACAAGCUUGGUGUCCUAAAAUAAGCACUGAUCAGAUCAUAACAUGAGUUUUUAAUUAUUUGCAACAUUACCUUAUGUAUUGAGCAUAUAAGUAAAAAUAUUCCUUCGGGUAUUCUUGUCACUAACCUUUCCAGGAUAGGAGUAAAAAGAUCAGAUGAAUGACAAGCAAGUACAAGGUAUGUCCAACCAAUCAUCAUGCAACACUGAAUUAAAUUCAUCCAAACUUGAAUUCUGCAAAAUUCAAGCUUGGGGGAGUACUUUACAUAAAAACAUCCUUUGCCAUGUUGCUAUGUUGGUUGUCCCUACCUUUAAGACAUGCUCAAUUUGUUAAAUACUAAUCACACUACUUCAUCUCCACUUGAGUAGAUCUCUAUAAAUGCUGUCAUGUUACCUUUGUCUAUUUACUAGUAAGUGUUAGUUUGGAAGUACUGCACAUACUUCUAUUGGCUUUUAAAUUAAGCAUGGUGCUUAGGUUAAACAACCUUCCUUAAUCUGAUUAGACAUGGAGUCUAGUUCAGUUAUUGAACUAGAAACUGCUUGUGUAGACAUUGGUAUAUUUUUGUCGGACUAACCCCUGCAGAAAAACUUUCAAUAUCGAUUUGGGAAGUCCUGAGAUAAACUCACAUCAGAGACGAAGAGAGUGACACAUGAUGUUUAACAAUUUGCACAAGAAGGACAUAGCUCAUUCAUCAUAGAGAGAUGAUCCAUGGAGGGUGCCACAGACACGAUGCACAACCGCUAAGAAAGGAAAACUUCCACAAGGUGAUACUGUACCAUCACUCUUCAAGCAAGGUAACAUCUUAAGGUACUUGACUAUCACUUUUAUAAGCUUCUCCUUGGUUCUGGCGUUCAUAUAAAUAAAAGAGACAAACAUGUAUGAUUUACAACUCUAGAUUAAACAACCCAACUGAUUCAACAUGUUUAGUCCUUUAAUCCUUGUUCUUAGUACUACCUCCAUGAUCCUACACUCCUAAUCAUAUGAGCUAAAAUGUUACACAUUCAAUCAUUGAGAGAUAUAAAGAAAAAAACAUAUACAUAGAUAGAUUAUCUUUCCAUAAGGUUGAGUGAUCUGAUCUGACAAAUGUUAUAAGUGCUACACUCAUGAACUUUUCAUCCAUCAACUUUGUCUUGCUCACUAUGCUUAGGGUUAGAGAAGAACAAAUACACUUUAGGUUCUGUUGGUGUUUUCCACCAAUAGGACCCAUGCACUUGAUCUCUGCCUUGUCUCUAUGAGCAGGUACACUUCAAGCAAAACACGGAGGAGUUUUAUAACUCUCAGACUCUACCAAGUGAAGGAUCUGGAUCUACGAGCACAAACACACUGAGCAGGACACUGCCAACGCCGUACUUCGAACUGCUGGGCAAACGAAGAGGUGCAGACGUCAAGGUCCGCACCUGAAUCAAAUGACGCACCUGAAGAAUGAACACGGUGAGAAGUUUUGUUAAGAAGACUUAAAACAUUGAACCCUUGCCGAAAGGUAAGAUCGGUAGUUAUCCAUAUUUAUCCUUUCUGCAUUCCCUUUUCCCUUUAAUUAUUUACUUUCCUUAAAUAGAUUAUUAGUUAAAUCAUGCUAUCUUGAAAAGAAAAUAAAAGUGUUGAAAAAUACUAAGCCCCAUGUGAGUAUACGAGUGGCAUAAAACCCAUAAGUACCUUCACUGUGGUGGCAUAAAAAUAAAAUAAAUAUUUCUUUUCUGCUUUAUAAAAUAAAAAUAUAAAAAUAGGGAGUAAUAUUUAUUGAGGAAGCUCAACAUGAUGGAGGCUAGAUAUUUAUGCUAACACUUAAUUAGUUCCACAAGCUUUGUUGUCUAUUUAAGCUCCACAGAAUUUAAGAAUCAAGAAGACUAGCAGACGGAGGACAUUCUAAUCGCUGUCAGAAUGCUGCUGACUUUCAAAUACACCUCUGCCACCUGCUAGCUACAUCAAGAGAAAUUACGUCAAAAUUCAGCUUGGGGGAGAGCACCCCUAUUUAUCUCGCUAAGUAUUUCUACCUAUCUUUAUACUUAUAUUAUGUUAGAAUAUUAAAAUACAUAAACUAUGAAAAACCAAAUAAAGAUUUUGUGCUUAUAUAUAUAUAUAUCUUUUGCUUAGUGUGUUUAAUAAAUAAAUAAAGUGGCUAUGCUAAUCUGAAUCUUAAUAAUAAAACUCUAGCAUAGAUAUGAUGAAUAGUUGCUCUGCCUAAUUUGCAAAUUUGAAGUUCUCUCUCAAGUUUAGACAUAACUGUUAUAAUUUAAAGCUUGCUCUAGAUCUGAACUUGUGGGAUGAAAACUUGAUCUGAAAUCUAAGUUGUUAACGGAUAUGAUAUGAGAAGGUUGAGCAGCUGUUUAUCUGUUCCUAGAGAUGCUAGAAUUCUAGAGAAUUUUAUCUUUGAAAAAUCUUUAAAAUAUUGCGUGAUGAGUUCCUAUAUGAUGAGAGUUUAAAUUCCUACCACAGCCAUAUAUACAUGCUUGCUAGACUUUGAGCCACACAUUUACUAUUUACUGCUUAUGAGCAUUGAGUGUGGUCAAGCUGUGUAGACCCUUAGGAGCUUGUCAUGUGGUUAAAUCAAGAUUCACUUGCACGUUCACUCAUAUAUGCUACUUCUACUCCGGAAGUACCAUCCACAUAUAUCCAUCCAUGUCCAUCUCCAGAACCACCCAAAAAUAUUCUACUCCUAAUCCAGGAGAGAAUAGCCAAAAAUAUUUCUGUUUUCCCUAGUGAAAUAAAUGCUCAAGUUAUCUUGCUACUACCACUUGCUAUAUUAUCUCAAGAGAUGAGUGCUCUGAAAAAAAUGAAAAGAGAAGAAAAGAAAAAAAAUAAAUGAGGAAAUAAAAAGGGGCAAGUGCCCGGAACCUCGAAAGAAAGAAAAAGUGAGACGAGAGGUAAAAAUGGACAAGUGUCCGACAGUAGAAUUAGGGGUACAAGAUACCCACCUGAGAGGAAAGAAAAAGAAGAGCAUCUCAUUCUCCUCAUAAAGUUUCAAAAAGCAAGGAAGGUAUGUAUCCCCUCAAAAGAGCAAAAGUAGAAUUAGACUUUCACCAUUGUUAUCACCAUCAUCACCAUACACCAUUCAUUCGCCACCCAUGCACAUCUUGAUUUGGCUUAUUGAUUUGUUUCUUUGGAUCCAUGGUUUGACUAUACAAUAAAUGUCUUGUAACUAUGUAUACUCUAUCUCCCACCUAUGAGCUCCAAAUAUUAAAGCCUUAUUAGAGUAAGGUGAGAGAGAAGGCAAUGUCACUGUGCCUUAUACCACAAAUACCACAUAUCUUGAGAGAAGGCAUAUACCAUUACUGCCUUGGUAAGAAUCCAGAAAUACCACAAAAGAGAGAUUUAGAGAGUCAUACAAGGAAUCUCUGAGUUUUAUUUCAAAAUCUGCAAAAACUCCAGAGCUAUAGCUGAUCAAGAAUAAGAGACAUGGCACUUGGCUAGACUGUUCUAUCUUUUAACUACUCAAGACAGAAGUGACGGUUACAAGUCCCAUGGUGAAAGGUAAAGUAAGUAAGUUUUAGUUCUUGACAGUUUACUCUAACUCAGAGUUGAGAUCUUAUUUAAAAGCAUGUGUACCGUCAAAUUUUUAAGAUAUUGCAACAACUUCUGAUCCAUUGCUGAGUCUAUCCUUGCUCAGGGACGAGCAAGAGGUAAGCUUGGGGGAGUUUGUUGACGGUCCUUAAGUAUCAAAUUUAAUUAUCAAAUAAACAAAGAAAAGGAUCCAAAUGAAAUCAACAUCUAGACUUAGGGUUUUAUCUGACAGAAUUCCACGAGUUUUGGUGUUUGUCUAUUUCUGCAGGGGGUUAUCAGGAAAUACGGAAGAAAGGCCCACACGUCGGGAUUACAUAGAGAUAUUAACGUGCUGCGCAAUUAUCUUACAUCUAGAAGACUCUAGAAGCCACGGGAAGGAAGCGGAGGCCGAACGGGGCCAGAGGCAGGGUGCCCGCCCUGUUUCCCUGGGCGCCCGCCCACCUCUGGAGUCCAAUCAGGACUCUGUUUCUCGAGAGAUCUCCACCGACCUAAAGGAUCAAGAAUAACCAUUAAAUCAAUGUCGGUUUGAUCCGACGGCCCAGGUUCACUUGAGGGGACUAUAUAACCAGACCCCCUGGCCCCUGGAGGAGGCACCCCUUCAUCAUUAUUCAUUAUUCAUAGAUAGAGCAAAAGCUAGGGUUUAGAGAUGAGAGCUCUCCUCUCUUCUCUAAACUAGAGUAGAUCUAGAUAGUAGCGAGAUGGAGAGCGAAGGAGGAUUAGAGGAAAGGCCAGCCUGUCGGUUCUUCCUCCGGUUGUACUUCGUCAUGAUCAAGCUCUAAUCAAGCUUGCUCAUGGGAUGACUCUGGUAAUCUACUUCUAAUUCAUUAUGCAAUUACUAAUCAUGUAUGUUCUGGUUCACAACUCUUUUGAGUACUUCUAAUCUAUAGGACGCUAUAGGUUAGAGUUGUAGUAUAGGUGUAAGCGAGGUGCUUAGAUCUAGAUUACUUGUGGAUAUCCCCUGUCUAGCUGGAUCGUGUGGUAGGCCGCGUAGGUGACAGUUACGUUGGUCCUCUGUAGUCCACCUCUCGUUAGCAGGACGGGUAGAGUUUAUCGGCCUAUGGAUAAGCAUCCUUUGUGGUGUAAUCUUAUCACGUGGUUCGUCCCAGACAUAGACAUACCCCUUUGAAGUAGAGAAACCAUAGUUAUUCUCUCUAUUCUGCUACCAUCACCCAUAUACUAGAAUUGCUCUAUUCUCUAUUUCCAUAUUAUCACUCAUUGUUAUCUUACCUUUAAUAUUGUUCUUAUUCAAUUCUACCAUCUUUCCUAUUCACAUCUAUCUAUCUAUCUUGGUUAAGUUAGAGCGU
rnacentral:lncRNA from 1 species